CUGGGCGCUUGUAUCUGUGACCUCAGGUCAGAGGGUGGUGCAGACCUGCCUGGUGGAUAACAGCAAUGUGGUGGAGCCUUGGGCUGUAGCACAUAAGAACAAAAUUAACUGUGGCCAUUGUAGGCCAGCUGUUAAUGUAGAAGCACCUGAUAAGAUGAACUGUGACUGCCUCUCUGCUGCUGAUGACACACUGUAAAAGUUUUAGAAAAUACCAGUGGAAUCACAUCAGACUUCUCUCAGUGCUGCUCCAUAAAUUUCCAUUCAUAAAUUUAAGGCUGUCAGUUGUUCCUGAA
rnacentral:lncRNA from 12 species